rnacentral:rRNA from 1 species
UUAAACGGCCGCAGUAUUUUGACUGUGCGAAGGUAGCAUAAUAAUUAGUUUUUUAAUUAAAAGCUGGAAUGAAUGAUUGAACGAGGGAAUAACUGUCUCUAAUUAAAUAAUAUUAGAAAUUUAUUUUUAAGUUAAAAAGCUUAAAUAAAUUUAAAAGACGAGAAGACCCUAUAGAGUUUUAUAUAAUUUUUAUUAUUAAAAAUAUGGAAAAUUUAAUUUAAUAUUAAAAAUUAUAUUUUAUUGGGGUGAUGGAAAAAUUUAUUUAACUUUUUUUAAAAAUAAUACAUUAAUUUAUGAUUAAUUGAUCCAUAUAUAAUGAUUAUAAGAUUAAAUUACCUUAGGGAUAACAGCGUAAUUUUUUUUGAGAGUUCUUAUCGAAAAAGAAGUUUGCGACCUCGAUGUUGGAUUAAAAUUAAUUUUAGGUGUAGCUGCUUAAAUAUUAGGUCUGUUCGACCUUUAAAAUUUUACAUGAUCUGAGUUUAGACCGGCGUGAGCCAGGUUGGUUUCUAUCUUUAAAAAUUUAAAAUAUUUUAGUACGAAAGGACCAAGUAUUUAUAAAAUUUAUUAGAUUAUGAAUUUUAUUAAUUU